UAUUGCCAUCUAUAUAAAAACGGCCAAGUAGUCACAUACGACCAGCUCAGGGAACAAUCCCCCCUUACCACCAAGUACUUCUUCCGCUACCUCCAAUAAUGAGACUUUGCUAGCUCAAAAGAAGUCAAGGAGACGGCCACUCUCCCACUCACCUGGUUUGAGAAUAUAUGCUACCAGGAAAAACACCCCAGUGGACUCAUAUCGUUACUAUACUGCCACCUCAGCGGGGAGGCCAAAGAAUGGGGGGAGCUACGAUACACAGACCAGUGGGAGACAGACCUGGGUGAGACAUUAGAG